ensembl:lncRNA
CAGGAGCCGCGCGCCGCGCAGGGCCCUCUGCCGGCAGAGAAGCGCCGUCUCGCGGAAGAUGAGCGGUUGGUGCUCAGAGCCGCGGGGCGCGACUCAGCGCUGCACGUCUCGUCUGCUGCCUUCAAACAGAGCUCUCUGCUGUCGCUCUGGCCGUUACCGACCCGUGGCUCUCUAGAGGAAUAGGGACUGACUGUUCUUCGGUGAGAAACCUGCCAGAAAGACGAACUUAAACUGAGACGAUGUGUGUUUUUAAAAGCAGUCAUCCCUCCCUCCGACAGUUCUCAGUGUGCAAAUGACUGCAUUGGAUGGAAAAAAUCGUGCAGGGACUCCCGGAAGGAGCAGCUCAGUGGCACAAAGCACUGCAGCGAUGCGCUGUGCCGGGCAUAAGUCUGGCAGCCACAAGGCAGCACAGAGAAUUAAAAAUGGACUUCUGCAGGAGGAUGAGAGGCUGCGAGCCUGCUGAUUAUACCUCUGUCUGCAAGCUCACCUGCAGCCUGGAGGCAGACGACGCUGUAUGCCUGAGGACAGGCACCUCCUGCUGUACUGCCCCUGCUCUGCUCACACACCACAGCUCAGGCUCCAAUAGUGGCCCUGCAGCUGCCAACGUUACCUCAGACACCUCCAGAACAUCUUCUGUGGAAGCUGGUGUUAAGUGAUGUUGGACACACCUCUGCAGGAGCAGCAUUUUCCUCCUGCGUUGUGUGGCACAUUGUGGCACGCAUGCAGAUGCGGGUGGAUGGGAUCCCUGUAACACCACAGAUUCCUUCUGUGAAAUACAACCCUGUUUCCAGACAGGAUGUAGUGUUGGCAGAAGUGCAGAUUUCUCACAUGAGGAACAGAGCCUGAAGGUUUCAGGGCUGCUGUGCUGCACUGUGGAUGCAAAGCACCACACACUGGCAGAGCUUUGCAUGCUGCUGGGGAAUGGAGACCCACAGAGCCCAUGGAUAACCUGAUCCCGAGUCAGGUAAUGCUUCCUGGGGCAACACUUCCACAGCUGUGAUGAGAUAUAUGUACGGCUUCAUAUAUAUAGCACUGUAAGCUUCCACUGUGAUUUAUUGGCAAGCGCGAAUAAAUCUGUUUCUUUGGCUGCAGGAGCACACAGGGGGGACGGAGAGGCUGUAAAAGUAACUCCUGUGCAGCCCGAUCCCAUGCAGUGAAUUCUCACAGCCCACACGGAGCUGUUUCCCAGUGACUUCUGUGCAGCCACGGGCAGCCAACAAGUUGCUGCACAGCACUGCGUGCUGCUAUACACCGCUGCGUGCUGCUGCAUGCCACAACAUGAUGCUGCACACUGCUGCAUGCCUCUGCUACACCGCUGCACGCCGCUGCACACUGCCACAUGGCUUCAGAACCAGGAACCAGCUGAAGAGCUCACAGCAGGACUGAAAAGCCAUGCUGGGCCACAGUGUGCAGGACUGAGCCCCCACAGACCGCGUUUCAUUGACUCACAUGGUAACAUUUUUCUCUUUAGCAUUUCCAGUAACAUUGCAACACAUUUCACAGAAUGCUCUAUUUAAGGUCAUACCCUUGGCCGUUUGCUACUAAAACCUCACAAUUGUAAUUUUCCAGUACUAAGAACAAAGCGACUGGGAAUGGCUGUGAUGCAGGCAGGGAAAGGGUUGGGAGGCCGCAGGUGCUUACAUGGAGAGGUGCCAUUCCAAGCACAGGGAAGCAGUCGGCGGCAGAGCACACCAGGCAGAACGUGCUGGUACCUGAGCAGGACACUGCCAGUGCAUAAAGAAAACUCCGGAGAAUGUUUCCACGUUGGGAUGUAACUCUGAAUGGAAAAGGUCUUCCAGAAGUUGGCUCCAGACCCUCAUCCUCGGUCGGUGGAGUCACCGAGCCUGGUGGUGUUCAAAGAGCGUUUGGACGUUGUGUUGAGGGACGUGGUUUAGUGAGAACCAUUGGUGAAGGGCGAAUGGUUGGACUGCGUGAUCCUGUGGGUCUUUUCCAACCUUAGCAAUUCUAUGAUUCUAUGAUUCUAUGAGCCUUCUUCAGGUGCUGUAAUACAGUUUUAGGAGGUUCCUGGGCAAAGUGCUAACAAUGGAAUACCGGCACUGUGCAAUUCCAGUGGAGCCGUUCAGCCCAUCCCCGCUCAUCCGCAGCCCCCACUGCUGCACAGAUCCGUUCCUGGGAGGCACUGCUGGCACUCGCAGUGCGUGGCUCUGCUGGCCCCGCUCGGCUCCUCUCACUGCAGCCCCAAAACUGCUCUAUCCACCGCGGGCUUUAACUUCCAUCAGCAUAUCAACCUGAUUUCUGCUAAUAGGAAAAUGAAAUGUGUCUUUCUGUCUCCAUUUUGCAAAAGAUAAAGAACUAAGAGUGUGCGUGACAUGACAGAACCUCAAUCUGACCUUCUCCUUGGGCAUUAUUAAUAGUAAAUGCAUAUCGGGUGGUUUCACAACGACCUUGAGAGCGAGUGACACAUCUCACCUGCUGGGGCGCAGUUCCCCAGGCAUUUUGGAAAAGGAAAUCCUUAUUUCUAUUAACUUAUGGGGAAAAUGGAAGCACUGCGGUGUCCAUGCAGAGGUUUUUCCAGUGUCCCAAAACGCCCAACGCAGAAAUGCCCGCGGGUUUUGGGGGCUUACCUGUAAGCACUGUAUUUACUGUGGGCUAAUGAAGAAGAAAUAAAAUUCAACUUCAACCUCCUUCCAAUUUGCAAGUUAUGAAAAAUGCUUCUAGAAGGGAGCUAAUAAAUGUGAUGGAUGUGCUCGGUGGUAAUUGAUCAUUUAUUUUGAACAAAUCCUGG